rnacentral:rRNA from 1 species
GACGAACGCUGGCGGCGUGCCUAAUACAUGCAAGUAGAACGCUGAAGGAGGAGCUUGCUUCUCUGGAUGAGUUGCGAACGGGUGAGUAACGCGUAGGUAACCUGCCUGGUAGCGGGGGAUAACUAUUGGAAACGAUAGCUAAUACCGCAUAACAGUAGAUAUCGCAUGAUAUCUACUUGAAAGGUGCAAUUGCAUCACUACCAGAUGGACCUGCGUUGUAUUAGCUAGUUGGUGAGGUAACGGCUCACCAAGGCGACGAUACAUAGCCGACCUGAGAGGGUGAUCGGCCACACAGGGACUGAGACACGGCCCAGACUCCUACGUGAGGCAGCAGUAGGGAAUCUUCGGCAAUGGACGGAAGUCUGACCGAGCAACGCCGCGUGAGUGAAGAAGGUUUUCGGAUCGUAAAGCUCUGUUGUAAGAGAAGAACGAGUGUGAGAGUGGAAAGUUCACACUGUGACGGUAUCUUACCAGAAAGGGACGGCUAACUACGUG